UGCAUAUGAUCUCCCACACAGAAUCUCAUUCCAGUCCAUAUAUAUAUAGGCGACUUCGAAAUUAGGCCGAGGAAAAAGAGCGGGAGACAUCCAGCCAUCUCAGGAUCUUCAGCCCCACACCAUUCUCAUACUCACAGCUUCUGUUGGGUGAGACCGAAAGUCAAGUGUGUACGCAACAAUUAACGUCGUCUAACAUGAUCGCACCAUCGUCAAGUAAUGUUAUAUUCAAUUCACAAGGGGAACAAGUGUUUAAAUCAUUAUAAUCAGAGGCAAUUUGUUUUCCCUUUCGUCAUGCGUUUCCAACCUAAAAUUUCCACAUAUAAGUCCGUAUUUUGGAACGAGCCAAAUGCCACACAAUUUUGUUCAGGUACCGGGUGCAGAUUAUUUCCCAAUGGAAUUGUACGUAGCAAAUCUGUUCGGUUCUGUCCCAAAUACUCAUGCAGAUACGUCGACUCACUACAAUGCUGGAAACCCAUAUUGCAAGUGAAGUUGGAGGUUGCCCGUCUUGUUGUGUUCUAUUUCAUUUGUAUGCCUCGAUUAUGAGAUUUAUGGUAUCUGAUUUCAUCUGUAUCUAUAGAUGCACGUGUGGUAAAUGAUAGACAGAUUACGGGAUGUAUGGUACCUGAUUUCAUAUGUAUUGUGUUGAAGUUAUAUACAAUUAAUGGGUUCUGUGAAUGAACUUUAUGGCAUGUAUGGUCAAAAACAGGUUUUAUGAAUGCAUUUUGCUUCUUUA